GGCCUUAGCCCUGGGAAGGAGGCUGUUGGGUUAACUUUAGCUCCUUGUGGCCGCUCAGGCAGCUCUGUCUGCCACGGGAUUACGGAACCGCACUUUUGCGAUUUUCCAAGUUUCUUAGGAGAUCAGAGUGUCGAGCUGUUCCUGGUAAUCAGCACAGUUAUUUUACACAGCCGUCCCCAGCUGUUGUUUGCAUUGGGGUCUGAUGACGCUGCUUUUCUGAUUACAGAGCACGGCAGUUUUUUUGCUAGAACUUGAGAGGCCAUUUGCUGCGGUCACUGAGUCCCUGUACUAAUGGUUCUCAAACGUUAGUUUGCCUAAGAAGCACCUGGUUAGAGGAGGAGGGAGCGUUUUAAAAAUGCAGAUUCCUGGUCUUCAUCCAGAGAUUAUUUUGAGGCAUCCUGUGAGAAACAAGUGUUGUGCGAGAAUCAGUAAGCAGAAUGAAGACCAAAAAACAUUCAGAAAACAGAACAGAAAUAGAGAAGCGCUAGAAAUACCAGACAGAAUCAAGAUUUGGGAAAAGUUUGGGAUAGAUGGAAUCUAUCAUUCGAUAAAUACAUUUAGAGAAAGCCUGAGAAAUGACAGAAUAAUUUGAAAGUGCAAAGCAGGAAUCAAGGAAGAAAGAACAAUAGUUUGGCAGAAUACCAGUUCUACUCCUGGUUCUAACAACCCAAUGUGUAACUUUGGGUGCUGUUUGUGCUCCUUCUCUCCCCUAUCCUGCCCUGCCCCCAUGAGGAAGAGUUGAGACUGGAUGGAGACAGAGGGUGGGGAAGUUUUUCUCAUAAUUUGGAAGCCCAUGAAAAUCUCUAGACCUCCAGAGGCCUUGGAUGACUGUCCUCACUCCUGUUCCAUGUGGAGAAUCCCAGAAUCUAACCAGCCCCAUGGCCAAUUGUAUUUUUGGAUCAGAAGAUCAGGCACGUGGCAGAGAAUUCGAAUGAUGCACAUGAUGAAAGAAAUCACAAAUGUUCCAACUAGUGGCUGCCCCAUCAGCAUUGAACCCAGAAUGAAAGUGACGUAAGGCAGAGCUGGAGCCCCUCCACCAAAGGACGUUUAAUGAAAGUAAGAAAUAGACUUUUGUUGCUGUAAACCAUUAAUCUCAGAGCCAUUUGUUACCUUAGCAUAAGUUAGCCAAUUCUGGCUGUUAUAAAAGUAUUUAUGGACACUAGGUGCUGGCUCCAGGGCUCGUUAGUGGAAAGCAAGGAAAUUGUUAUUGGAGGUGGAAGGAUGGUGAUCCAUCUCCUUAAUAUGCCUGUAGCUUUAGGAGAAGGUGUGCAGGUUAAGGAUCCAGCAUUAUCACUGCUGUGGCUUGGAUGGCUGCUAUGGUACAGGUUCAAUCCCUGGCCUGGGAACUUCCACAUGCCAUGGGUGUGCGAAACAAAGAGAGACAGAGAGUUGAGUUCAAAAAGAGUUGGUGAGUUUGAAAGCAAAAAAAAAAAAAAAAAAAAA
ensembl:lncRNA